AGAGUUGAUCAUGGCUCAGGAUGAACGCUGGCGGCGCGCUUAACACAUGCAAGUCGAACGGUUAAAGCACCUCCGGGUGUGCAUAAAGUGGCGAACGGCUGAGUAACACGUGGGCAACCUGCCCCCCGCACCGGGAUAGCCUCGGGAAACCGUGGGUAAUACCGGAUACUCCGCCACCCCCGCAUGGGGGAGGCGGGAAAGCGUACACGGCGGGGGAUGGGCCCGCGGCUUGUUAGCUCGUUGGCGGGGUAACGGCCCACCAAGGCGAUUAUGGGUAGCCGGGUUGAGAGACCGACCGGCCAGAUUGGGACUGAGACACGACCCAGACUCCUACGGGAGGCAGCAGUGGGGAAUCUUGCACAAUGGGCGAAAGCCUGAUGCAAGCGACGCCGCGUGCGGGAAGAAGGCCCUCGGGUUGUAAACCGCUUUCAGCAGGGACGAGGCGCAAGUGACGGUACCUGCAGAAGAAGCCCCGGCUAACUACGUGCCAGCAGCCGC
rnacentral:rRNA from 1 species